rnacentral:rRNA from 1 species
CGAACAAACGCUGGCGGCGUGUCUUAAGCAUGCAAGUUGAGCGGCAAGGAGGAGAGAUCCUCCCUAGAGCAGCGGACUGGUGAGUAACGCGUGGGUAAUCUAUCUUAGGCAUGGGGAUAGUCACUAGAAAUAGUGGGUAAUACCGAAUAAGUUCCAUAAGGGGAGGACUUAUGGAAGAAAGGUGCUACGGCACUGGCCUUAGGUGAGCUCGCGUCCCAUUAGCUAGUUGGUGAGGUAAAGGCCCACCAAGGCGAUGAUGGGUAGCCGGCCUGAGAGGGUGUACGGCCACACUGGGACUGAGAUACGGCCCAGACUCCUACGGGAGGCAGCAGCUAAGAAUAUUCCGCAAUGGACGGAAGUCUGACGGAGCGACGCCGCGUGGAUGAAGAAGGCCGAAAGGUUGUAAAGUUCUUUUGCUAGGGGAGAAUAAGUGUGGGAGGGAAUGCCUGCACGAUGACAAGGACUAGCGAAUAAGUCCCGGCCAACUACGUG